rnacentral:rRNA from 1 species
GAUGAACGCUGGCGGCGUGCCUAAUACAUGCAAGUCGAGCGAACAGAUCAGGAGCUUGCUCCUUUGACGUUAGCGGCGGACGGGUGAGUAACACGUGGGUAACCUACCUAUAAGACUGGAAUAACUCCGGGAAACCGGGGCUAAUGCCGGAUAACAUUUAGAACCGCAUGGUUCUAAAGUGAAAGAUGGUUUUGCUAUCACUUAUAGAUGGACCCGCGCCGUAUUAGCUAGUUGGUAAGGUAACGGCUUACCAAGGCAACGAUACGUAGCCGACCUGAGAGGGUGAUCGGCCACACUGGAACUGGGACACGGUCCAGACUCCUACGGGAGGCAGCAGUAGGGAAUCUUCCGCAAUGGGCGAAAGCCUGACGGAGCAACGCCGCGUGAGUGAUGAAGGUCUUCGGAUCGUAAAACUCUGUUAUUAGGGAAGAACAAAUGUGUAAGUAACUGUGCACGUCUUGACGGUACCUAAUCAGAAAGCCACGGCUAACUACGUG